GCAUCAUACAAAUCAAUAGUUUGGAGGUUUGAAGGCCAGGGUAGCGAUCAGCCAGUCUGCUCUACCCCACUUAACUUCUGUAGUAUGCCUUGAGACCCAAAGCCAGGACAGAUUCCGGCUAAAUCCAUCCAAAUGAGCAAUGGGACUAUGUGUUCUUCUCUUUUGAGGCACUGUACAAAUCCAUCUAGUGAAUGGGAGGAGUGGGGCACACAGUAGGUCUAAUGACACAAUGAGCUAGACAUGGAGGUAACCAUUUUGGAAUAAUAGGUGAACUUUCCUAAGGCAGAGCAAAGGCAUCCCACAAAUAAGCUAUUUGGAGGCUGAGCUGAUGAUGGACAAGUCCUCUCAACCCCAAUCAGCCUCACCAAAAUGACCUACGAAACAAAGCCAGGC